AUGACGCCGACCACAAUACGCAUGCUUGGACCUUCUGAUUUCUUGAAUUACCUAAACAGGCAGUACCCUCACCUGGCUAGUGAUGAGAUGAUAGUCCUACUGCAGGAGUUAAAUGCUCGUUGUCUAUCACACAUUACAACCGCUCGUGGGCAAAUCCAGCUUGAGAUGAUGAGGUUCGCCGACAAGUUAUACAGUGCAAGGACUCGCAUAUGCACUUGUUGUACAACANNNNNNNGGUUUAUUUAUUUUUUCCUUACUCGCAAUCAUGCAGAUGGUGGCGUUACUACUCCAGCAACAACUCCUUUUGCGGGCCGCCGCCUGGAGUUAUCACCGUGUGAAGCGGUUACUUCCAUAAGCAAGCGGGCGAAAACUGUGCGUACCCAUCAGUCCACAUCUGAACCGAGGAUGGAGUCUGCGCUCAGACACGUCUUGCGAAGUCUCACCUUGUUUGCAAAGCAGAACCUAAAUGGAAUUAGUGAACUAUAUAUCGACCUCUCGAACGAUGCUACCACUACCAUUUUCGGCCAGAGGAGCAAUGAUCUUCCCGGACGCAAGUAUGUGUCUCGUCUCGGAUUCCAUACAAACCCUUGGUGUAGGGGAGUUGUCCCGUGCCCUCCACAACCUGGUGUAGCUCACCUAAUUGAACAACACUUGCUGAAUGCUGAUGGAACCGAGCUAGCAGGGAACUUUAUUGUUCACGGGGAGCCAAGAUUUAUCAGGAUCACCGGUUUUGUCAUACGCGAUCAGCUCGCUGGCAACAACAUAAUUGGUCAUGAAUUGAUGUCAAUUCUUUUUCGCCGGUUUGAUUGGCUCGAUUGUGAUCCGAGACCGAGAACCCAUUCUUAA
rnacentral:rRNA from 1 species